rnacentral:misc_RNA from 1 species
GAUGAAGAACGCAGCGAACUGCGAUAAGUAAUGUGAAUUGCAGAAUUCAGUGAAUCAUCGAGUCUUUGAACGCACAUUGCGCCCCCUGGCAUUCCGGGGGGCAUGCCUGUCCGAGCGUCAUUGCUGCCCUUCAAGCCCGGCUUGUGUGUUGGGUCGUCGUCCCCCCCGGGGGACGGGCCCGAAAGGCAGCGGCGGCACCGCGUCCGGUCCUCGAGCGUAUGGGGCUUUGUCACCCGCUCGAUUAGGGCCGGCCGGGCGCCAGCCGGCGUCUCCAACCUUCUAUUUUACCAGGUUGACCUCGGAUCAGGUAGGGAUACCCGCUGAACUUAAGCAUAUCAAUAAGCCGGAGGA